rnacentral:misc_RNA from 1 species
GAUCUUGACACAGGUGGCAUAGUCGGGCUUUGCAGUGCCUUCCAUGAGGCCGGGGAUGGUGUUGAACUGCCGACGGACUUCCUCCACCAUCUUCAGGGCAGCGCUACCGACACUCUUCAUUGUCAUGGCCGAAAACCAGUACGGAAGCAUGGCACCGACAAUCAACCCAAUGAAGACCUUCGGAGUCAAAACAUCCACAUUCGAGAUCGCUGCACGGCUCACAAAGGCGCCAAACAAAGCCAGAGACACCAGCGCAGCCGAACCAAUCGCAAAGCCCUUUCCAAUGGCGGCGGUGGUGUUGCCAGCGGCAUCGAGGGCAUCGGUCCUCUCUCGGAUCCGGUGGCUCAUCCCGGCCAUCUCUGCAAUGCCUCCAGCAUU